UACGUAGGGUGCGAGCGUUUAAUCGGAAUUACUGGGCGUAAAGCGUGCGCAGGCGGUUCGUUGUGUCGGCGGUGAAAGCCCCGGGCUCAACCUGGGAAUGGCCGUUGAAACUGGCGAACUGGAGUGUGGCAGAGGGGGGUGGAAUUCCGCGUGUAGCAGUGAAAUGCGUAGAGAUGCGGAGGAACACCGAUGGCGAAGGCAGCCCCCUGGGCUGACACUGACGCUCAUGCACGAAAGCGUGGGGAGCAAACAGG
rnacentral:rRNA from 1 species